rnacentral:rRNA from 1 species
CAAGUCGAACGGCAGCAUGAUCUAGCUUGCUAGAUUGAUGGCGAGUGGCGAACGGGUGAGUAAUACAUCGGAACGUGCCCUGUAGUGGGGGAUAACUAGUCGAAAGAUUAGCUAAUACCGCAUACGACCUGAGGGUGAAAGUGGGGGACCGCAAGGCCUCAUGCUAUAGGAGCGGCCGAUGUCUGAUUAGCUAGUUGGUGGGGUAAAGGCCCACCAAGGCGACGAUCAGUAGCUGGUCUGAGAGGACGAUCAGCCACACUGGGACUGAGACACGGCCCAGACUCCUACGGGAGGCAGCAGUGGGGAAUUUUGGACAAUGGGGGCAACCCUGAUCCAGCAAUGCCGCGUGUGUGAAGAAGGCCUUCGGGUUGUAAAGCACUUUUGUCCGGAAAGAAAUCGCACUUACUAAUAUUAGGUGUGGAUGACGGUACCGGAAGAAUAAGGACCGGCUAAGUACGUGCCAGCAGCCGCGGUAAUACGUAGGGUACAAGCGUUCAUCGGAAUUACUGGGCGUAAAGCGUGCGCCGGCGGUUGUGCAAGACCGAUGUGAANCCCCGGGCUUAACCUGGGGAUUGCAUUGGUGACUGCACGGCUAGAGUGUGUCAGAGGGGGGUAGAAUUCCACGUGUAGCAGUGAAAUGCGUAGAGAUGUGGAGGAAUACCGAUGGCGAAGGCAGCCCCCCUGGGAUAACACNUGACGCUCAUGCACGAAAGCGUGGGGAGCAAACAGGAUUAGAUACCCUGGUAGUCCACGCCCUAAACGAUGUCAACUAGUUGUUGGGGAUUCAUUUCCUUAGUAACGUAGCUAACGCGUGAAGUUGACCGCCUGGGGAGUACAGUCGCAAGAUUAAAACUCAAAGGAAUUGACGGGGACCCGCACAAGCGGUGGAUGAUGUGGAUUAAUUCGAUGCAACGCGAAAAACCUUACCUACCCUUGACAUGCCACUAACGAAGCAGAGAUGCAUUAGGUGCUCGAAAGAGAAAGUGGACACAGGUGCUGCAUGGCUGUCGUCAGCUCGUGUCGUGAGAUGUUGGGUUAAGUCCCGCAACGAGCGCAACCCUUGUCUCUAGUUGCUACGAAAGGGCACUCUAGAGAGACUGCCGGUGACAAACCGGAGGAAGGUGGGGAUGACGUCAAGUCCUCAUGGCCCUUAUGGGUAGGGCUUCACACGUCAUACAAUGGUGCAUACAGAGGGUUGCCAAGCCGCGAGGUGGAGCUAAUCCCAGAAAAUGCAUCGUAGUCCGGAUCGUAGUCUGCAACUCGACUACGUGAAGCUGAAAUCGCUAGUAAUCGCGGAUCAGCAUGCCGCGGUGAUACGUUCCCGGGUCUUGUACACACCGCCCGUCACACCAUGGGAGUGGGUUUUGCCAGAAGU